rnacentral:rRNA from 1 species
AAAGGAAUAGACGGGGGCCCGCACAAGCAGUGGAGUAUGUGGUUUAAUUCGAAGCAACGCGAAGAACCUUACCAGGUCUUGACAUCCAACUAACGAAGCAGAGAUGCAUUAGGUGCCCUUCGGGGAAAGUUGAGACAGGUGGUGCAUGGUUGUCGUCAGCUCGUGUCGUGAGAUGUUGGGUUAAGUCCCGCAACGAGCGCAACCCUUAUCGUUAGUUGCUACGCAAGAGCACUCUAGCGAGACUGCCGUUGACAAAACGGAGGAAGGUGGGGAUGACGUCAAAUCAUCAUGCCCCUUAUGACCUGGGCUACACACGUACUACAAUGGCUGUCAACAAAGGGAAGCGAAACAGUGAUGUGGAGCAAAACCCCAAAAGCAGUCUUAGUUCGGACUGCAGGCUGCAACUCGCCUGCACGAAGUUGGAAUUGCUAGUAAUCGUAGAUCAGCAUGCUACGGUGAAUACGUUCCCGGGCCUUGUACACACCGCCCGU